GACUCCAUAGUGUAGUGGUUAGCACAUCUGUUUUGCACACAGUAGGUCCUAGGUUCAUGCCCCAAGUGGAGCCA
rnacentral:tRNA from 1 species